rnacentral:rRNA from 1 species
UUAAAGCAUUGAAUGGAUGCCUUGGCAUAAAAAAAAAGGACGUUUAACAAGACGAAACGUUGCAAAAAGAAGCACUGCGAUUUGCAAAUAUCCGAAAAGUAAACUUAUUGAUUAUAAACACUUUGCGAACUGAAACAUCAUAUUAGCAAAAGGAAAGGAAAUCAACCGAGACUCUGUUAGUAGUGGCGAGCGAACAUGGAAUAGGCAUUGCGUUUUUUUGUUAUUUAAACAAAACUGAAUCUAAAACUUUAUGAUUAAUAAGGUCAACAAAGAGCCAAAGAAGGUACUAGCCCUGUAAGAUUGUUUUUUUAUCAUUUGAAACUGCUACCAUACAGUAUAAUAAAAAUUAUUAAAAUCUUAAGGGGGUCCCAUCCUCCAAGCCUAAGUAUUUUUUGUGACCGAUAGCGUACCAGUACCGUGAGGGAAAGGCGAAAAGUAACCUUAUAAUAAGGGGUUAAACAGAAACCUGAAAUUCAAUGUUAUCAAGCAAACAUUAUCUUAAUUUAAAGAAAUUGCUGUUACCUUUUGCAUAAUGGGUCAGCGACUCAAUAAAUCCAGCGUGCUUAAGCGAAUACGUGGAGGCUUAGAGAAAUCGAAUUUUAAAUAUCAAGUGUUAAGUUGGAUUUAUUGGACUCGAAACCAAGUGAUCUAAUUAUUAAUAGGUUGAAAAAUCAGUAAAAUGUUUUGAAAGACCCAACUCGUGAAUGUUGCAAUAUUCUGAGAUAAUUAAUGAUUAGGGGUGAAAGGCCAAUCAAACUUGGAAAUAGCUAGUUUUCCGCGAAAUCUAUUGAGGUAGAGCGUAAUAAAAAAAAACUGAUUGUAGAGUUACUCUCAGAAAUAGGGUGGCCCAAAGCUUUAACCAACUUCGAAGAAACUCCGAAUAUCAGUUUUUGGUUUUAUUACAGACAGACUAUGUGCGCUAAGGUACGUGGUCAAAAGGGAAACAGCCCAGAUCGUAGGUUUAGGUCCCCAAACAAUUUUUGAGUGGGAAAAGCGAUUUUUUAGCGAUAACAAUCAGAAGGUAGGCUUGGAAGCAGCCAUCCAAUUAAAGAAAGCGUAACAGCUCACUGGCCGAGUUAAAAAGUACUGAAAAUAUAACGGGGCUCAAAAAAUUUACCGAAACUGCGAAAAUAUUAAAUAUUUGGUAGCGGAACGUUCUGUUUUUUUUAAUAUGUUUGUAAGAAUAAGUUAUUAAUCAGAAGCGAUAAUGCUGACAUGAGUAACGAAAAAUUAUGUGAAAAACAUAAUCGCCAACAGUCUAAGGGUUUCUGCGCUCCGUAAAUCGUCGCAGAUUGAAAAGCGGCCCCUAAAAUAUGUUUAGAAAUGAAUAAUUGAUGGGAAUUAAACAAGUGACCGAAAGCAUUUAACAAAUUAAAUUUUAGGAUAAAAAAAUUGGUAAAUGUUUGUUUGCAGGAAAAACUUGUUUUUUAAAAUACCGUACUUUAAACCGACACUGGUAGACUUGUGGAAUACACAACAGGCGUUGAAUUAAUCACAUUGAAGGAACUCGGCAAAAUUCCUCCAUAACUUAGGAAAAAGGAGGCUAGAAUAAUAAAAAUUCUGGGGCACAAAAAUGAGAGGAACAACUGUUUAAUAAAAACACAGGGCUCUGCAAAGUUGUAAAAUGAAGUAUUGAGUCUGACGCCUGCCCAGUGUUGGAAGGCUAAAAUGAUAUGUGGUAUGCAUAAACUAUAACCCCCAAUAAACGGCAGCCGUAACUCUAACGGUUCUAAGGUAGCAAAAUUCUUUGUCGGGUAAGUUCCGACCUGCAUGAAUGGCGUCAUGAUUCCUCUGCUGUCUCCAAUGUGAAUUCAGUGAAAUUGAAUUUCCCGUGAAGAUGCGGGAUUAUUUCUGCUAGACGGUAAGACCCUCUGCACUUUGACUUUAACUUUUUAGUGAAAAAUUUAAUAUUUUGUGCAGUUAUAGGUGGGAGCUAUUUGAACCAAUACGCCAGUAUUUUGUACAAGCAAUCUUGAGAUACCACCGUUAAUUUUAAAUUUUUCUAAUCGAUAUGAAACACUGAAAAGCUGGUAGUUUGACUGGGGCGGUCGCCUCCUAAAUUGUAACGGAGGCGUGCGAAGGU